AGAAUCAACGCUGGCGGCGUGCCUAACACAUGCAAGUCGAACGAGAAAGUGGAGCAAUCCAUGAGUACAGUGGCGCACGGGUGAGUAACACGUGACUAACCUACCCUCGAGUGGGGAAUAGCCUCGGGAAACCGGGGCUAAUACCGCAUAACAUCCACGGAUCAAAUGCGUAAGCAGCUUGAGGAGGGGGUCGCGGCUGAUUAGCUAGUUGGCGGGGUAAUGGCCCACCAAGGCAGUGAUCAGUA
rnacentral:rRNA from 1 species